rnacentral:lncRNA from 1 species
GAAACGGUGGCAACAUUGUUUAAAGUGCUUCAUUGAAGUAUUAAGUAUUGAUGUUAUUUGUUCAUUGCUGUUUGGUUAACCGUUGGAGUUGAGUUUUAAAGUGAAGUUGUUCUAAUUACUGCACAAAAAGUUUCGAAUUUACAAUGCCGCAUUUAAUUCAAGAUUCCGAUUUCCGGAAUAAAAUGCGUAUGUUCGGAUAGAGAGACGUUCUCCAGAUAAAUAUUGGCACAAUUCCGAUUUCUUUGGCGCCACGAUUUGAAGGUACCGUUGGAAAGAGGAAGUCCUCCUGAUUAAAA